rnacentral:lncRNA from 1 species
UUUGCCUUUUCUAGGGCCACUCCUGUGGCAUAUGGAGGUUCCCAGGUUAGGGGUCCAAUCGGAGCUGUAGCCACUGGCCUACGCCACAGCCACAGCCAACACCAGAUCCGAGCUGUGUCCGCGACCCACACCACAGCUCACAGCAACGCCGGAUCCUUAACCCACUGAGCAAGGCCAGGGAUCAAACCUGCAACCUCAUGGUACCUAGUUGGAUUCGUUAACCACUGAGCCACAACGGGAACUCCAUUUUUUGGUAUUUUUUUAAAUUAUAGUUGGUUUACAAUGUCGUGUCAAUUUCUGCUGUGUAGCAAAGUGACGCAGUCAUAAAUCUAUCAAGACUGUGAUACUAGUGAUCAUUCCUCCCCCGCUCUGCCUGGAGUGUCCCGGGGAGAGAAACUUCCAAAUAACAUACUAUCUCUGCUAUUUCCUACUUUGUUCCUAUGCAUCUGAAGGCUCUGAUGAUAGGCUAUAACCCCCUUGCAUUUCCAGCUGGGGACAUGGGAACUGGGUCUUGUGCACGAUGAGCCUAGGAAGGGAGCCCCCGCCCUCAAUGUCAAGGCCUCCAACACCUCAGCCUCCCUUUUAUUGGACUUGGAGGCAUCAGCAACUUGCCAAGUUGGUGCCUCUGUCCUCAUGCCGCAUUAGUGCUCUGGCUAAGGCAAGACAGCCAGCCUCUUCUGGGCUGGGAAUUGUUUCCCAGGGCUUGGCUGGGCUGGAAGACUUUGGAUCCUGAGGGUGGAUUGCAAUUAGGAAAGGAACACUGGGAGCUAGUGAUAAGGAAACUGGAGCUGGAAAGGGGACCUGGCGGGCCAGUAAGAGGCUGAAUUGGGACAGAAAUCCUGGGGGUGGGGGCCCCAUCAGGAUCUCUUCAUGGCUCAUCUGCUGCCUUCAUGAUUCCCAGCCAGGCUUGUAUCAUCAGAAUAGGAGGCUGAUCUCAAUUAGAUGAAUGGGUCAAGUCAAAGAGAAUCCUAGAGAAAGGCACUGGGUUUGCAGUGGGGAGCAUGCUGCUGGGCGCCUGACCCGGCUCAGAUGUUGGUGGGUAGCUGCCAUCUCUGUAAGGGGAGACAGCAAGCAUCAUCCUAACCAAAUCACAUCCCUCUGAUGCUUUUACGGAAAGAUGACUCAUUUUAGAAUAAUCGCCCAUAAAUUAAUAAACGCCAUUAAGUUUAUGGGCUUCUCCUCGUCGGAGUCCUCUGAAGCUAUCAAUUUAGUUUUUAAUAAACUCCCCAUGACUUGUAAAACCACAGCAGUCAAUUUCUGGUCUGUGUGGAAGUGACAUUUCUGGUAUUGACUUUCUCCUGCAUGUGUGCAAUGAAGGUAAAAAAGCCAAAAACAAAACAAAAACCAGGCAGCGGGACCAUGGGCAGUUUAUGUUAGGCAAGUGGGUGAAGGCUGGUGUGCCUGGCUGCCUCUCCCAGGGUCUGGGGGUCUGCACUGGGGAUUGUAAGUGCCUCUCUGGAGAACUCAGAUGGAAGAGGAGACAGGAAAGCUGCCUUUCACUGAGGUCCUCUGGAGCAGAACUGGGUGGGAGUGAUGGCUAACUCAGCACAUGGCUUAUCAUCUAAAAUUCGGACUUGCCGUUGUGGCUCAGUGGAAAAGAAUCUGACUAGCAUCCAUGAGGACACAGGUUUGAUCCCUGGCCUUGCUCAGGAUCUGGCAUUGCCUUGAGCUGUUGUGUAAUUUGCAGACAAGGCUCGGAUCUGAUGUUACUGUGGCGGUGGCAUAGGCCAGCAGCUACAGUUCCGAUUCCAUCCCUAGCCGGGGAACCUCCAUAUGCCUCAAAUGCAGCCCUAAAAAAAAUUAAAAAGUAAAAAAUAAAAUAAAAUAAAAUAAAAUAAUAAAACAAAAUAAAAUCGUACCAGCCCCGCAUACCUUGCAAUGGUGAUGAAAGAGAGAAUAAGUGAAAGUUCAAUAGCAAGCAUUAUUUCUAGGAAAAUGUAAAAGUGGAAUAAUGUUGUAAUAAUAAUACUAUAAUGAUGAUAAUGAUAAUGAUAAUAAUAAAUAUCACAUAAUAAGUGUCUUCCACUAUGGAAGGCAAUGCGCCAAGCACUAGACAUUCAUCAUUGUUCUUGGUCCCCAUUGUACCCUUAGGAGGCAAGUAUCACUCUCCCUGGGCUCUGAGUGGGUGGGUAACUUGCUUGAGGCGACAUAGCUAGCCUCCUGUGGCAAAUUCAGACUUCCAACCUACUCAUCUGGCUUCAGUUAUGAUCUUUCAUGUCCCUAGACCAUUCAACAUGUAGCUUUUUAAAGGUUUAUCUGUCUUAAUUCACACUGUACUGUUCAAAGAUUUCCUACUAAUUGUUAAAAACACAGAUACAGCCUAGGAUAUUUUUAAUAUUCCAGGCUUGGAUUCUGCAAAAGGUAUGCCAUCUCCAUUGCCAACGUACCCAAGAAGCUUCAUAUGAACUCAACCAUUCUUUUCCAAGCGUGACUGGAAGCUCUACAGACUUAGAAGGUGGGAGACAGGAGUAGAUGUUGGGGCUCCUGGAAGCUGCUUAUUCAAGAAGAACCUAGAGCUUCUAACCACAUUUGGAAUAGAUUUCCCAUGGUCUGCUAAAGUUGGAGGAGACUGAAUAUUGAAUCUAAUAUUCUUUUUUUUUUUUUUCCCUGCAGGAGAGGGUUCUGCAGCUCAGGAGUGUGCAGUGCUGUGUCCAAGGUCACCGGCUACUUGAUGACAGAACUGGCUUACUUAAGUCCCGGUGCAAUGCUGUGCCUUCCUUCAUGCUAUGCUAUCUCUUGGGAUGAGUGGUACAACUAAUGACCCAUUGCUUUGGAAUCUCUCUGCAAUCCAAGCUGUAGAGAGGUGGGGCUGGGUAAGGAAGCUACAUCUGGGACACCGUCAAAAUGUAAAGAGAAUGGCUGUGUCUCUACAAAUUUCUCUUCCAUGGCAUUUUCAGACCUACCAAUGAUCGUGAUAAAUAGACUUGAAAUUGAGUGGGUUUGAUUGGGAAUUAUCUACAGUGCCCUCUGCCAAGAUCUGGCAAUGAUUUGAACAAAUAAAUUUUUCAAGAAUGUUCACCCCAGCAUCUAGCAGGGUGUCAUAUACAUAGCACCACUGAUCAAUAUCUGUUGAUCAAAAGAGAUGCUACUAUCUCAAUCUAUUGAAACAGAAACUAGAAAUCCAGUAACUUGUUCUGAAUCCCACAGAUCAAAGAGGUGAGGUAAAUUUGAAGUUAGAUUUGACUGCCUGAAAAGCCUCUAUCCCAAUCACUUUCAACCUUAAGGUGUGGCUCUCACACAUUAAUUGGCUGAGUAUGUAUAAGAACCAGAUGGGGAACAGAAUACUGGAACUUUCCUUAGAGACUCUGAUUCCGUAGGACCCUUGCCAGAGCACCUUAGGUAAUUUUGGUGCCGGGAGACCAGAGGCUACACUUGGACAAGUGCUGUUCCGGGGAUCAUUAGUAAUAGCUGACAUUUCUGAGUCCUUGCUCUGUGCCUAGAAUAGUAAUGUCACCCUCUCACCAAUCCUAUACUAUAGGUUCUAUUAUCGUCAUUGCAUUCUAGAGAUUAGGAAAAAAUCCUGAAGCAUAGAGAGGUUAGGGGACCAGCCCUGGUCUCUGAGUUGGGAAAGGAUGGAGACAGAAUAGGAACCCAAGUGUCAUGCUGCAGAACACCUUAGCCACCGGCUUCUGCAACAGGAAAGGUGAAGAGGGAGGGUGGAGUGUCAUGGACUGUUAUUGUCUGCUCUCGGUUUUGUCUGAGCAUAAGAGGAAUUGGUUCUUCAGGUGCCCCAGGUGGAGGGAAGCCUGGCAAAGGUAACCCCCUCAGGCAUGUCUUCAGUCUGGGGACAUGCCUACAGGCAGAGCUAAUCAACAGAGCAAGGGGGUGGUGUCUCUAACUGUUCAAGUUACACCUACCAUCUAGUGCCCACCAACAGAUAAGGAAACAUUUAGAGCAGAUUUUAGAGUAGAUUCUCCUCUUAGUCACAGUUCCUCAAUUUUGGUAGCAAAGAAAGCAGUCAAUGGCAAAUACAUGAAUAAAACAGAAAAACUUGGUAUGAGCACCAUACCAAAUUUUAUAACAACACCCAUAUCUUUGUUAGGCAUCAACUCCCCACCUCUGUCCAACUGAAACUCCAGGGAAUGAAAGCUUUGGUAGUUAAAGAAGCAGGUGAUCAUAUUUCUAAAGAAAUAUUUUCAUGAGUCAAGCACCUGAGCUAAUAAAGACUCGUUUAUGAGAGGUUACACCCAGAGGAAAAUAGCAAACAAGCCCAUGUUUCAGUCCUCCUAGACUUGUAAACAGCCCAUAUGCAGUGUGCUCUGAAAAGAGCAAAGCAGAUCCGUAAAAUGUUCACAGCCAUGACUGAUGCAUGCAUUGUCACUAUAUAAAAUAUAAUAUAUAUCAUAUUUUUUCUUCCUUUUUUUGCCCACCCUGCAGCAAAUGGAGUUCCCAGGCCGGGGGUCAGAUCCAAGCCGCACUUGCAACCUACACUGCAGCUGCAGCAUGCCAGAUCUUUUAACUCACUGUGCCAGGCUGGGGAUUGAACCUGCAUCCUGGCACUGCAGAGAUGCUGCCAAUCCUGUUGCGCCACAGCAGGAACGCCAAUAUAUUUUUAUUGUCUAUCUUUUAUGAUGCUUUGAAAUGUUGGUGCCUUGUGGCCUGGAGGGCAGACUGCUUCUCCCAGGAUUAACUAUACAGUCAGACCCCACCCCCUAUCCUCACAGGAUACAUUUCAAAAUCCCCAGUGGAUGCUAUAAACUGCAGUUCAUACUGAACCUAUAUCUACUAUAUUUAUUCCUAUACAUACAUAUCUAUGAUAAAGUUUACCUUAUAAAUCAGGCACGGUAAGAGAUGAGGAAAAAUAACUAAUAAAACAACAAUUACUACGAUAUACUGUAAUCAAAGUUAUAAGGAUAUGGCCUGUCUGUCUCUCCCUCUUCUCCUCACUCCCCUCGAUCUCUCUCUCAAAUUUUUUUUUUUUUUUUUUUUUUUGCCAACCUGCUGCAUAUGGAUUUCUUGCACCCGGAAUCAUAUUCAAGCCACAGUUGUAACCUGUGCUGCUGUGGCAACCCCAGAUCGAACCUGCAUCCCGGUGCUCGAGAGAUGCCGCUGAUCCUGUUCUGCCACAGUGGGAACUCCUCAAAAUACCUUAUUGUACAAAGUUAAUGCCUUGUCCAUCUUAACUAAGCACUCACCACCCACGAUGGCU